UCUAUGAAAAAAAGUGUUUGCCAGUAUAUUCUUGUCAUAUACGGAAAGCCUGGAGGCACAGGAGGUUGAAACCCUGGGCCUAGAGACUGUAUGAAGGACCCAGGGACCCAAGCAGGAUUAUCCACGCAAAAGAAUUCUCAGUACUUCUAGGGGAAACUUGGAAGACACUGGAAGCAAGGAGAUCCCAAAUUAAAUAAAGUGCCUGUUAGCAGUCCUGGAAGACCAGCAAGAAGUCAGAGAGGAUGUUUUCCUUCUAAGCCAUCACUGAAGCUGUGACCUCUAGAACAUCGAAUCCGACUAUUCACAAGCAUUAAUGUGGUUAAAAACAAUCUUUAGGGAAGUUCAUAAGACCUUGUCUCAACGGAUCCAAGAUAUGUUCUG